rnacentral:lncRNA from 1 species
GGGUAUGGGCUCACUUUGCAACCUGAGACGGAUAACCUCGAGUGAAAAAACCAUUUGCACACUAAAACAUGUAUCCAAAAGAACUGUCAAAUGGACAAACAAAUGAUUCGUUCACCCGACGAGAGGGCUGCCUAGUUAUCCAUUUUAUUCAGGGCUGCCUGAGAACUCAGGUAAUAAUUUUGUGACAAGUAAAGAAUGGAUGAAAUUCAUUAUUACAUUGCCCGAACGAAUUGCUGCACAUGUUGCCAAAGCACAAACCACAAUCUCGGAGGUGUAAGGGGCGGAUGGAGGGUCAAUAAUUACAAAUAAAAAUAUUACAUAAAAUAAACAUGUGUAUCUAAUCCAUAUAAAAAUUACAACUGCAACUUAACUAAAUUUCUAAUGUACCCUAGACAAGUAAGGGAGGAGUUACUUAAGAUUGACAUGCCUUAUAUCAAACAAG